UAUCCCAAUGAAGAUCAUGUUCAAAAAUUAAAGUAGUGGACUGAUUCUAUUGAUGAUUUCUUGAUUCUGAGGGGUA